GGGGGGGGGGGGGGGGGGGCGUGGCGGGGGCGGGGCGGGGGGCGGGGCCCUGCUUGUGGGGGGGUGUCGGGGGGCGAGCGGGUGAGGGGCACGGGGGGCACCUACCCGUGCCUGUGGUAUGACUUCCGGGAGCUUGGGCUCCUCCCGGCUACUGGCUCCUCGUCCAUGGUUGUGUUUGGAGAGUGUCGGCGGUUGGGGAUGGACUCGCGGCUUAUCAGCUGUUGGGUGGGGUAGUGGCUUACCACGGCUUUGAAGGGUAGCCGGCCUGAGAGGGUGACCGGCCACAUUGGGACUGAGAUACGGCCCAGACUCCUACGGGAGGCAGCAGUGGGGAAGAUUGCACAAUGGGCGGAAGCCUGAUGCAGCAACGCCGCGUGCGGGAUGACGGCCUUCGGGUUGUAAACCGCUUUCGCCUGUGACGAAGCGUGAGUGACGGUAAUGGGUAAAGAAGCACCGGCUAACUACGUG
rnacentral:rRNA from 1 species